CCGUUACAAGUAGAGACUAGCAGUUACAGGUUGAGACUAGCAGUUACAGGUACGGACUAGCAGUUACAGGUAGAGACUAGCAGUUACAGGUUGAGACUAGCAGUUACAGGUAGAGACUAGCAGUUACAGGUAGAGACUAGCAGUUACAGGUAGAGACUAGCAGUAACAGGUAGAGGCUAGCAGUUACAGGUUGAGACUAGCAGUUACAGGUAGAGACUAGCAGUUACAGGUAGAGACUAGCAAUUACAGGUAGAGACUAGCAGUUACAGGUAGAGGCUAGCAGUUACAGGUAGAGACUAGCAGUUACAGGUAGAGACUAG